CACGCCGUAAACGAUGUCUACUUGGAGGUUGUGCCCUUGAGGCGUGGCUUCCGGAGCUAACGCGUUAAGUAGACCGCCUGGGGAGUACGGCCGCAAGGUUAAAACUCAAAUGAAUUGACGGGGGCCCGCACAAGCGGUGGAGCAUGUGGUUUAAUUCGAUGCAACGCGAAGAACCUUACCUGGUCUUGACAUCCACAGAAGAAUCCAGAGAUGGAUUUGUGCCUUCGGGAACUGUGAGACAGGUGCUGCAUGGCUGUCGUCAGCUCGUGUUGUGAAAUGUUGGGUUAAGUCCCGCAACGAGCGCAACCCUUAUCCUUUGUUGCCAGCGGUCCGGCCGGGAACUCAAAGGAGACUGCCAGUGAUAAACUGGAGGAAGGUGGGGAUGACGUCAAGUCAUCAUGGCCCUUACGACCAGGGCUACACACGUGCUACAAUGGCGCAUACAAAGAGAAGCGACCUCGCGAGAGCAAGCGGACCUCAUAAAGUGCGUCGUAGUCCGGAUUGGAGUCUGCAACUCGACUCCAUGAAGUCGGAAUCGCUAGUAAUCGUGGAUCAGAAUGCCACGGUGAAUACGUUCCCGGGCCUUGUACACACCGCCCGUCACACCAUGGGAGUGGGUUGCAAAAGAAGUAGGUAGCUUAACCUUCGGGAGGGCGCUUACCACUUUGUGAUUCAUGACUGGGGUGAAGUCGUAACAAGGUAACCGUAGGGGAACCUGC
rnacentral:rRNA from 1 species